GCUUACCCCCUUGUAAUACAAACCAAUAAUAGUGAUUUGAAUCGGUCAUACCCCACUUUGCCGGACAGCUGAUGAUGAUAACGAAUUAAAAGUAACGGUCGGCUAGUUUGCCGGCUAUAGUCUGUUUUCAGUGAUUACUUGUCACCCAUAGGCAUUUGGGGGACAUAAGCGUUUGGCAGACUGAGUUCGAAAUCAUUAAUUACAAGGCACCAAGUUGUUUUGAGUGAACUCGAUUUCUAGUAACUGAUUUUAGUUAAAUCGAAUUAUAUUAGCUGAAUUGAGUGAAGCUUAUUCCAAUGAUUAUUUCUGAAGUUGUGCCUGUAUAUAAAGAAUGUAGACAUGGUUCGUUCAUUGCAAAAUGGCAAACGUUCAAGUUAACAUUCCAAAUUCGAGGGGAGGUAGGUAGACACUUAAUCUAUCUAGGUCACAAGUUUAGGGUUAAGAGCACAAAAAGGGACCGAGUUCAUUUGAAAUGUUGUAAGACAGGUUGUCCUGCAACGGCCAACACCGUCAGUGAUGUUCUCAGCAGUUCCAGGAACAUACACAACCACCAUCAAGAUCAAGUUCAGUUCAGAAAAUAGUUAUGCAUAUUUAUUUAUGUCUACAGUUACCAUUUUUUUUUUUUCUGAAAAUGUACGAAAUAUUUAUUUAUGAAUUUUAUCAUUAAGAUAAAAUGUACCCAAAAUGUUGAAUUGGUGAAAUAUGAAAUAUCGAGAUGAAGCUACAGUGUGUACUUUCUUAGGCCGAAACAGACUAUAAGUUAAUACCCUAUUGUUUAAAGGAUUAUCGUGCAUCAGUGAAUUUUUAUCUAUAACAAAAGCGUCCGGCAAAACGGGAACCCCCCUUUGAAUCUAUGAAUCUUGGAAGAACGCAUUUGCAGUAAAUAUAACAGUUAUGAAGUCGAGGACGAAAUUCAUUUCUCGGCAGGCUGUAAUUUUUAUUUGGAUGUCAGAUACGGCUUAUGGAACGCUGUCACGGUAGUAUACCCUUUCUUAACCCAGUACACUCCUGUUGACCAGGUCACUCUCAUUAUGCAAGAUAUUGCCAGUUUAUUAAACAAGUAGCCGCUUUACCCCUACGCAUGUUUAGACGUCGUCAAUUCACAAAUUACCCUACCUCUUCACUAUUUAACUUCACUUUCUUGUCCUCCUUUUAACUUCGUGGUUCAAUUUGGCAUCCCCAGUAAUUUUACACUAUUGUUUAAUAGUUAUUAGUAAUUUAUUAUUUGAUUUUAACUUUUGUCUCUAAAUGCAAAAUAGUGUUUCAUAGGCCGUAUUGGUCGGAUGUUGUACUCAAGUUUAUGUCUAUAUUUGUUAUGUCUCUUAUGAUGUACAACAUGGGACACUUUAAUAAACAAUUUUCUUCUUUUCCUUCUUCUGUAAGAUGCUGACUGAUGGAGGAAGUAUUUUCAUCUUUAAAACCACGCCAGGACAUAUACAUAUUUCAAUUACUGAAAGCGACGGCAUAUUGUUUAGUGACACGUUGUUUUGCAGUUAUUCCGUGCCCGGCAUCCCGAGGGUGAUUGUGUUUAUGGUAUCCACUUAGGUUACAGUGAGUGACAAUAUCACGGCGGGGGACGCCAGAAAUGGGCUUC